CUGAUCUUAUUUUUGGAUAUAAGCAGAGAGGAAAGGUAAUAAGCAUCUCUACACUUGCAUUUGAUCCCCAGCAGUGCUGUUGUAGUACAAAUAUGUUUUGGUUUGAAAUAAGGAUAGUGUCUUCUUUUUACUCUUGAACAUAUAUACAGGAUCUGUGAACACAAACUGAGCUGUUAUUUUUGCCUUCUUAUUGAAGUGUCUUCUAUCUAGCCACCAGUUCAUUAUUUGACUGCCGAGCAAUUUGACAGCUGGUUCUUCGUCUUGUGUGCGCGGUAAUACAGUAACGUGUCGUGAUAACAUUGUCGCUGUUGGUCUCGUGGCAUCUUCCGAAGGUAGAUGCGAGCUGGGCCUCCGCUCGAUCUCCUUCUGAUUCCUGCAUGGAUCUGAAAAGAAACUUGGAUAUGUUUGACUAUAGUGCAAUGCAAUUCCUGAAUGGAGCAGAGCAGAGCAGAGCAGGGCGAGAGGCGAGGCGACCAGUCUCCACUUCUGCUGCUUGGUCCAAAAACCGUUAUAAAAAGUCGCGGGGUUCUCGAGACGGGAUUUUGUUUGCGGGCGAGGACAGGGCGGGGGGCGCGCAAGGGCGAGGCCACGUUCGCCUCCUCCGCGGGAAGCGCCGCGCCGCCCCGCGACACGACACGCAUGUGCCGCCCCGCGUUUGACUCGGCGCCGAUUGGCAGGCAGCUCGCCGGCCUCGGAAUCGGAUCCCCCUUCGCGCUCGCCGGGUCAGCGACAGCGCGAGGAUUGUUUACGCCACCUUGGCCGGCAGCGUCACCCGUCCCCAUGUGACCCCCAACCGGGCCGGCGACCCGGCCGUCCGUCCGUCCGUCUCUAUAUAUAAGGAAGCUAGCAGCGGCGUGGUCGAUCACCAUGUGCAUGGUGUGUUGAGCUAGCUGCCUGUCGCGCCGUGGGAGCCGAUCGAGAGCGUGUGAGCCCGGCCUCUUCUGCGCGGCGGCGGAUGGACCGGAUCGGAGGAAUGGUGUGGUGUGAGUUGAGUGAAGUGCCCAAGAUAAAGGGUGAAGCUGCCAGCAUGAUCUAACGACGGCAUUGCUCUGCUGCUGCAGUGAGGCUUGCGAGUGAUGGUUAGAUCAUGCUGUGACAGUUUCACUCUUUCCCUUUGGGCACAUCGAUCUCUUCCCCUCCUCUCUCUCUUUCAAUUCUCUCCCCUUUUGCAAUCAGACUCGUCACUCGCGCACAAAUUCCACCACUCGCCACCCUCCGUAUGGGAGGCAAUCGUCGGGGAUUUCCGGCCCAACCACAGGUUGCACAGCCUCCGUGUCAGGAAUGCCACACCGGCCUUUGGAAGGCCCACGGAGCGGCUUUGACGGGCAGAAAUAGAAAGGAAAAAAAAAAACACGACACCUCCCCCCUCUGCGCCGCCCUCACCCACCGCCGUCGCCACCUCUCUCACCGCGGAACAAGACGCUGAGGAAGAAGAGCCGGUACGGAGACGGCAAGAAGACGCGGAGCAGUACGUACGUCUCCGAUCUGGUGAGCUUCCACCCUUUUUUGCAGCACUUGAGCGUCAGCCGAGAUUAGCGAGGUAGUGCGCACGUCUUCAGGUACUCGAUCAACACAUCCAGCGAUCAUGAAGGGUAGAGCGCGUGGCGCGGCUAGAACGUUGGCUAU
rnacentral:lncRNA from 1 species